ACAAAACGAGGAGGCUAUUCUCUCUCUUCUUGUCUUCCCCAUCGCCUUCUCAUGGUGGCUCUCCCAUCGUUUUUUCUAUGGCCUCUCCCCCAUUAUCUUCUCCAUAAUAGUGAGUCACUUUCUGUUGCGAAGAACUCUUCCUUCGGUUCACCCUUCUCUUCCUUGUUCUUUACCAGAAGUGACAGAUUUUUUGGGGGGCUUUAACGCAAUGACUCUGCUUGUCGCGAGGAAGGCCUCUUCAAUUGGGAAAUACUAAGUUAAAGACACGUUGCAGGCCAAUUUCAAUCUCCUCGAGAUCAAGCUCUCUGAGCUCAAGAUGCCUGGUUCGCUGGUACUCCUGCAAUAUCUUUGGGUGAAGCAUGACCUUGGUUCCAAACUUAGCUUCUUUCAAUCUCCUCCUGACCAACAAGCCCCCAGUAUGUUUCCUUCUCAUCUCCAACCUUUUUAGGAUGGCUUGGGGGAGUUGCUUUCAAGGUGGAAAAAGAUACAGUACCAGUGAGGGCGAUGAGGAUUCCCAUUGUAUCAUUAACUUGUCUUCUGUUGAGAGAUGCCACGAAGCUUCCUUACUCUCUGUUCUUCUCUCGGUGUGGCAAUUAACACCUCCUUUUCUAUUUGUAUAAAUGUCGCAGAAAGAUACAAAUAGAGUGAAUUAAAUAAAAAUGAUGCAAAUGUAAGCUAAUGACACAUUGCUCUUCACAGCCAUCAACGUCAACUACUCUGUUACCUAGAGAGAGUUCGACAACUUCUAUGGAUGUUGCCGCUCCCUCCUUGAUGGUUUGAUGAGGGCCACUGAUGUUAUGAUUGCCGGCAAGGUUGCUGUCGACUGUGGUUAUGGAGAUGUCGGCAAGGGCUGUGCUACUGCCCACGAGGAGACUGGUGCCUGUGUCAAUUGUGACUUAGAGGGGAAGGCAAGGGCUGUGCUGUUUUGAUCAUCUUUGGGGUUGAAUCAAUUUCAAAAUUUUCUUUAAAUUAUUAUUGGUUUUGGAGCUAUAUUGUACGCUUUGUUAACUUACCAGAAACAAUUUCAUUUUUGUGAGUCAUUUCAUCGAA